UACAUUUCUUUCAAAAUUUUGUGAGAAUUUUGGCACACUUAUAAGAAUAUAAGGAAUAUUAUCGGCUGAAAAUUUAUUCAUGUUUAAUCUUAAGUUAAAGUUUUAGGUGCGCAGACAUGGGGGCCCCCUUCAUUCAUAGUUGAAUAAUCUAUUUUCAGGUCUUGUUGAUUCAAGGAUGUACAGGCCACAGCAACAAGAACUUUUGAUAACUGCUGUGGAGCAGGGAAACAAAGCAGAGGUCGAGACUUGUCUUAAUAUGCCGGGUACAGAUAUCAAUGAAAAACCGUGGGGAAUGGAAUCCUUGCUGAUGAGAGGCAAUACGUUGCAACCACAAGGAUGUGGCAGAACUCCUCAUUGAGAGGGGUAUUGAUGUGGAACCAGACUCUCCAAGAAGUGAGACAAAGGAUUGCAGUCAAAAGACAGCUAGAGAUUAUGCAGAGUUCUAUGGAAUGCCUGACAUCGUUAAGAAAAUUGAUGAACAGCGGAUUAAACGUAUGGCUAGACCUUGAGGAGAGUGUCAUUAUGGGGACAUAUUGAUGAUAGUGAUGUGACAGAUUGGUGAAGCUGAAAAUGCCAUAUCUACUGACUUAAAUGUAUGUACACUUCAUUAAUUGGUCUAAAAACAAUUUGGUCUCAUAACCAGAUAGGCUUCCUACGUUGUGGCUUGACCCUUUUGGUCCAUGAUGUUUCAUUUUGUCAAACUUACACUUGGUCUAAUUGCUGCCAGAAGAUUUAAUGAUCACUUGGGCUGAUUAUCACUUAGUCUAAUCUAGGUCCCAUAUUACACAAAGGUUAGUGAUUGAUCAUACAAUUGGUUUGUAUGAUCGAUUGUACAUUGUGGUCAAUGCAAUCAUAAGAUUAUUCUUUAAAAUGAUUGCAAAGCUUUGUGUUACAGGCCCCUAGUUGGUCUAGUUACCACUCUAUCUUAGGGGAGUAAAAAUAAGUAUAACGUUAUACCUGAUAGUGGUUAGCCAAAGUAUGAUAUUUGAUAAGUAUACAAACUGGCCGUAGACUAUAUAAAAUUGAACCAAUUACCAUCUGUUGAUGAGACCAAGUGAGAGUGUAAAUUAAUUUCUACUUUAUCUUUCUGGGCCUGCCGCAGAAGAGUAAGUGUGCACGCUUCUGAUUUGUUAAAAUUCAAGUUGCUUUUGAUUUGAGAUUGCAUUUGGUGGCAACUUUGGCCGUCCUGGCUAAACAUAUGUGAGUUCCUGGGUUAAAAAACAAAAUGUAAAUGAUUAGGGUUGAUAUACAGUUUCUUUUUUUUUAAUUAUAAGUAGAAUUUUGUUAAGCUUUUAAAUCAUUUUCACAUUAUUUCUGAAAAUUGCUACAGUAAAAAAUGUAUUCUGUCUGGGAAUUAUUCUUCAGAUGCUUCACAUUCCUUUGAACAAAAUAGCAAACAACGGCAGCAGACAUUUUCAAGCCUAACAUUUGUGUGUAGUACCAUAUAUAUGCAUUCUGGUCUUCAUUACAUAUUUCUCAGCAAUUUUGGGGUGAUUA